GUAAAAAUAAUCUUACAAGAUUUCCUAGAGACCGUAAACAAUUUGUAUUUUUAUGAUUUGAUACUAUGCACAUCUUUCAACAUAGGUAAAACUAUUUAGAUAUGCACAAAACGUUCACAGUAUUUAUCAACAGGUGAAGUGUUUACUGAAAAAGCAAAAUGUACUGAAAACGUCCCAUGCGACGUCAUCAAAACGUCAUCUUUUUAAAAUGAUCAAAUACAAUAUGUUACAAGUAUCCAUUUAAAAAUAAUAAAGAG
rnacentral:lncRNA from 1 species